CAGUAGCCGCGGGAAUACAGAGGGUGCGAGCGUUAAUCGGAUUUACUGGGCGUAAAGCGUGCGUAGGCGGCUAAUUGAGUCGGAUGUGAAAUCCCCGAGCUUAACUUGGGAAUUGCAUUCGAUACUGGUUAGCUAGAGUGUGGGAGAGGAUGGUAGAAUUCCAGGUGUAGCGGUGAAAUGCGUAGAGAUCUGGAGGAAUACCGAUGGCGAAGGCAGCCAUCUGGCCUAACACUGACGCUGAGGUACGAAAGCAUGGGGAGCAAACAGGAUUAGAUACCCGUGUAGUCCCUGUCUCUUAACA
rnacentral:rRNA from 1 species